GUACCAGCCGCGGCGGUAAUACCGGCAGCCCGAGUGAUGGCCGAUCUUAUUGGGCCUAAAGCGUCCGUAGCUGGCUGCGCAAGUCCGUCGGGAAAUCCACCUGCCCAACAGGUGGGCGUCCGACGGAAACUGUGUGGCUUGGAACCGGAAGGCUCAGAGGGUACGUCCGGGGUAGGAGUGAAAUCCCGUAAUCCCGGACGGACCACCGAUGGCGAAAGCACUCUGAGAAGACGGCUUCGACAGUGAGGGACGAAAGCUAGGGUCUCAAACCGGAUUAGAAACCCGUGUAGUCC
rnacentral:rRNA from 1 species